rnacentral:lncRNA from 1 species
CUAACGAAGAACCGUAUCCGUGCAUCGAACCAUCAGGCAAGCAACCAGCCAUUGAUCAUAUCGAUACAAUCCCAUGUUCUCGCUCCUGCUCUCUUUUACUGCAUUAAGACAACGCGUUUCAAAUUGCUGUGUGCUACGGUAGUUGAACCCAUUUCCUCUGCAUGACCUGUCAUUGCCACAGUAACUAGAUGAAACCCACUAGCAUGUGUAGGAGUUGAUUGAGCCAUAUGUAUGUGUUGUUCCUACCUUGCUAUGCCUGCUAUGCUUAGAGUCGUGUCAGGUCUGGUUCAUCUGGGUGAUGGGCUAGAGUGAAAUGUUAUGUCGGUAAUGAGAGUGGUGUGGUGAACACGAUUUGGUAAAGGUAUCGAUGAGAGGCCAUGUAGGAGUACAUGGUGGGUUGUUUCAUUGAAGCCGACCUUAAGCACUGAGAUCUGUAUGUGUGAUUUAAGAAUCAGCUACUACCAUGCAUUGGGCCCGAAACCAAUGGACCCUCUCGACUUCUUAUUCACCCUAGUUCUCCGUCCAGGAGUUGCAACUAGUUUCUGGUGUUUGUAGCCUACUGGAGGCCGUGGACAGCGCUGACCGUAGGGGUGGGCUGUGAUGCGGUAGGUACGUGGCCGGGUGUACCGAAUACCCGUUAGGUAUCUCGGGAACCCUGUUCACAUUGUUCGGGGCCGUAUGGGAAACCUCGGCCGGACUCCCUGCGGAUGGAACCUGAAUAGGCGAUAAACCUGGACUGGAGGCUUAGGUGAUUAGGUAGGUCGUGGCCGACACCCACGUUGGGCUUCCGCUUGAAGGUUGCCGAGUACAUGUCGUGUAAACGACGAUAAGUGGUGAGAGCGUGUAUGAAGAAGUACACCCCUGCAGGGUUAACAUGAUCUAUUCGAAUAGCCGCGUCCGCGGUAAAGGACUACUUGGUUGCCUAUACAGUUCAUAGACAAGUAAAUGGAAACUACUAAAAGCCUCAAGAUAAGAGUGAGUGCCGAGGAUGGCUCUUCCGUAGGAAGACGGAGGUGGAUCCUCGGUGGUGUAUUGAAGUGGUGAGUAGUGGACUCGUGUGCGCAAAACCAUUUCAAGUUGGAGUAUCGUAGGAUAGCCUAGCCAAGAGUCAAAGCUGGCUUGCUGCAAUAACUCCACCAACCCUUCUUGAUAACAUGCAUGUAUGUAGGAUCUGAUGUAAGACUUGCUGAGUACCUUUGUACUCAUGUUGCUAUAAUCUACAUUUUUUACAGAAGACGCUGCAACCCCUUCUGAUGGGUUCUAUGUAGACGUUGACAUCAACGAGUAGGCUAAAGACCCAGGUGGUGACCCUGAGCUUGUGAAGGACCACGUAGUAUAGUUAGGCUUUCCAAGCCUCUUUUAUUUUACUAGUUGUCUGUACUCAGACAAGUUACUUCCGCUGCUGGUUUGCAUGACUGUAUGACUUGUAUGUUGGGUCGUGAGACCCGUACCUUUGUGUAUGUUAUGUAUGGCUCCCUGAGCCUUAAAUAAAGUACUUGUGUCGUAGAGUCAUGUUGUGAUGCUUCGUUGUAUUUGCACAUAUCGAGCAUAUUGUGUGUAUGAUUGAAAUGCUUGGUAUGUGUGGGAUCUGACUAUCUAGUUGUUUAUCUUUAGUAGCCUCUCUUACCGGGAAAUGUCUCCUAGUGUUACCGCUGAGCCAUGGUAGCUUGCUACUGCUCUGGAACACUUAGGCUGGCCGGCAUGUGUCCUUCUUCGUUCCUGUGUCUGUCCCUUCGGGGAAAUGUCACGCUUUGAGUACCGGAGUCCUGUUAGCCCGCUACAGCCCGGUUUACCGGAGUCCUGCUAGCCCAGUGCUACCGCCCGGACCCACUUGCUGAUGACCGACACGUUCGAAGCUGGGUCAUGGAUGCCUGUCCCUGUAAGUCUGUGCCACUUUGGGUUUACGACUAGUCAUGUCAGCCCGGGCUCUUUAUCAUAUGGAUGCUAGCGACACUAUCAUAUACGUGAGCCAAAAGGCGCAAACGGUCCCGGGAAAAGGUAAGACGACACCCGUGGGGAUACCGUGCGUGAGGCCGCAAAGUGAUAUGAGGUGUUACCAGCUAGAUCGAUGUGACAUCGAGUCGGGGUCCUGACAGCGUUGGCAUCAGAGCCGGACUGCCUGUAGGUUCUCCAAGCCAAACUGGUCGAUGUUGAGUCUAGAAAUUCUUUAGUUAUAUGUAGGGGAAUUGUUUGUGGGUUGGAACGUAAGGCUCUUUUUUUACUCCUUAUACCUUAUGACAUUCUGAUCUGAGUCAGUCCAUUCUUCCACCCCAGCUCGUAUCCGAGCCCACUGACGUGCUCAUCGUGAUCUCAGGAGUCCGUAGCACGCCCCAGCUCCUCCUGCCGUGCUUCCUAACCCCGACCCCGAGAUUGCCCGAACUCCGGCAGCCGCAAAGGAGCUCGCCGCCGGCAGCUCCGGCCACCCCAGCUGCUGUCACUUACCUCUUUAGAUGCGCCUUCCUCCCAGGAACCCGUAGGAGCAAACCGCACGUCAAAUGGUGCUCCGUAGCGAGCGCACGGCGCACCUCCGCUGUCGGCCGUGGUCGUCGCCGGCGACACUCCGGCGACUGCCGACGUGGCACGCCUAAUUAGCACUAAUGACGCUCUAAACACCCCCCCACAGCCACUGACAGUGGGCCCCGUAGUGGGUCAAAGCCCGGGUCAACGCGGGAUUAGCCCCUGUGUCACUGACGUGUGGACCCCACACGUCAGGUUUGACCUGGACCGCCCGUUGACCUGCUGAGGUCAGCAUGAGGUCAUGCUGACGCCAUAAUUCAUUUUCUGGAAUUAUUUUAAUUCUAAAUAUUCAGGAAAUUCCAGAAAAUGCCUAAAACUUCUAAAAAUCAUAGAAAAUUAACCGUAACUCCAAAUUAAAUAAAUUAUAUAUGAAAAAUUAUCAGAAAAAUUCAAGGAAUCCAUCUGUACCAUUUUCAUGCAUGUUAGAACAACUUAUCACUACUGUUUAGGACAAAUGAAGUGAAUGACAUUUAAAUAACCCCAUAUGGAGUUUGAAUUUGAAUUUUGGAUUCAAACCAACUUCAUUUAAUCUGGUUUUAGGUGCAUUAGCCCAAAACACAUUCAUAUUGCCAUGUCAUAGCAUGCAUCAUAUUGUGCAUUGCAUUGAUCGUGUCUUUUCUGUAUUUGCCGGUAAUUGUCCCCUCUCGAUAGACGUGACACCGAUGAUGCGAUCGUUGACACUGACGAAGACUCAAUGUUAUCUUCAGAAGUGCCAGGCAAGCAAAACCCCCUUGUUCAUUCCGAUAAAAUCCCACUCUCUCGCUCCUGCUCUCUUUUUACUGCAUUAGGACAACACCGAAUCAUCUGUUACAUGCUGCGGUAGUUGAACCCCUUUAUCCUCUGCAUGACCUGUCAUUGCCACAGUAAAUAGAUGAAACCCACUAGCAUGAGUAGGAGUUGUUUGAGCCCUGUUGUGCCUACUCAUUCAUGCUUGUUUGUCAUGCCUGCUAUUGCUUAGAGUCGAGUCAGGUCUGAUUCAUCGGGGAUGAAUCAGAGGUGUGUGAACAUGUCCUACUGUGUGUGAGCUAAGUGUGUGAACACGAUUUGGUAAAGGUAGCGGUGAGAGGCCAUGUAGGAGUACAUGGUGGGUUGUCUCAUUGUAGCCGUCCUCAGGAACUGAGUUCUGUGUUUGUGAUCCAUGAUUCAGCUACUACCAUACAUUGGGCCCUGAAAUAUGACCCCGCUCGACUUCUUAUUCACCCUUGUCCUCUGUCCAGGAGUUGCAAGUAGUUUCUGGUGUUUGUAGUAUGCUGGAGGCCGUGGACAGCGCUGACCGUAGGGGUGGGCUGUGAUGCGGUAGGCACGUGGCCGGGUAUACCGGGCACCCGUUUGGUGUCACGGAACCCUGUUCACAUCGUUUGGGGCUGUGAGCGAAACUCCGGCCGGAUCUCCUCAUGGAUGGAACCCGAAUAGGCGAUAAACCUGGACUAGAGACUUAGGUGUUUAGGUAGGUCGUGGUCUACACCCACGUCGGCUUUCGCUUGAAGUCUGCCGAGCACAUGUCGUGUGCAGACGCUAAGUGGUGGAAACAUGUAUGAAGAAGUACACCCCUGCAGGGUUAAAAUCAUCUAUUCGAAUAGCCGUGUCCGCGGAAAAGGACUUCUGGGUUGCUUAUAUCAGUUCAUAGACAAGUGAAAGUGGAUACUCUAAAAUACGCAAGAUAAGCGUGAGUGCUAUGGAUGGCGUUCUCGUAGGGAGACGGGAGCGGAUCCAUAGUGGUGUAUUGAUAUGGUGAAUAUGUGGACUCGUGUGCGCCACCUCAAAAGUUAUUUGCAGUCGUAGUUCAGGUUAGCCACUGAGUCAAAGCUGGCUUGCUGCAGUCAAACUCCACCAUCCCCUUUGUUGAUAAUGAGGCAUAUGUAGAUAGAUCUGAUGUAAGUCUUGCUGGGUACAUUUGUACUCACGUUUGCCUAUUUUAUGUUUUUGCAGAGAGACUUCGGUCUCGCUAGUAGUUUCACGUGGACUUCGACGUUUAGCUUGAUACCUCAGCUACGAUCUUGUGCCCCGGCAGGAUCUGAUAGAUAGUCAGGCUUCUCAGCCUUUUUCAUUUAUAGAUGUCUGUACUCAGACAUGAUAGCUUCCGCUUGUGCUUUGACUUGUAUGCUCUGAGUGUUGGGUCAUGAGACCCAUGUUUGUAAUAUCUCGCUCCUCGGAGCCUAAUGAAUAAAGUACUUGUGUCGUAGAGUCAUGUUGUGAUGCUUUGUUGUAUUUGCACAUAUCGAGCAUACUGUGUGUGUGAUUGAAAUGCUUGGUAUGUGUGGGAUCUGACUAUCUAGUUGUUUAUCUUUAGUAGCCUCUCUUACCGGGAAAUGUCUCCUAGUGUUACCGCUGAGCCAUGGUAGCUUGCUACUGCUCUGGAACACUUAGGCUGGCCGGCAUGUGUCCUUCUUCGUUCCUGUGUCUGUCCCUUCGGGGAAAUGUCACGCUUUGAGUACCGGAGUCCUGUUAGCCCGCUACAGCCCGGUUUACCGGAGUCCUGCUAGCCCAGUGCUACAGCCCGGACCCACUUGCUGAUGACCGGCACGUUCGAAGCUGGGUCAUGGAUGCCUGUCCCUGUAAGUCUGUGCCACUUUGGGUUUACGACUAGUCAUGUCAGCCCGGGCUCUUUAUCAUAUGGAUGCUAGCGACACUAUCAUAUACGUGAGCCAAAAGGCGCAAACGGUCCCGGGCAAAGGUAAGGCGACACCCGUGGGGAUACCGUGCGUGAGGCCGCAAAGUGAUAUGAGGUGUUACCGGCUAGAUCGAUGUGACAUCGAGUCGGGGUCCUGACAUGCAACCUUCGAGAUUUCAACCAUUUAACUUCUCUGACCAGUUAUUGUUAUGCAUUAUAUACAGGUCAUCUGUAAAUCCUAAAAAGGUUGACAUUCUUGAAGGAAUGCAUGUUACAAGGUAAUUGCACGAAAUCAACAUGUAAAUGUUGUGGCAUCCUCUAUUCAUACUAUUAUUCUAUACUAAGCUCAGAACAAUUCUGCAGUGUUGGUUGUGGAGUUGGGAUGUCUCUGAUUGUUGUAGACAGGGCAAAUGUUGGUGGUAAGCUUGACCAGGUAACUAACUGGGAUUUCAUGCACGAGCUGUUUACUCGCUUGAAGUUACUGACAGGGUAAAGAUUUAAUGCAAUUUAUUAAAAAAAUUUGUGCAAAACAAAAGAUACGGGUUGAAUAAAUCAGCAGCAUGACUUUGGGUAGUGUAGUGAGCUAUGUGUGUUAACAUGCAUUAAACAUCUCCUAAACCAACUACUCAAAGCAUAUCAAUAUUAGUAACAGAGCCAGGUGAUUAAUCACAGGCACAUGCUAAUGAUGAGGAGUUAACUUUUAGGAGGUAACAGUGAAACAAAAAUGUCUUGGAGUUAUUGAUCCAUAAACCUUUUUUGAGAAAUUGUUUGUCAAUUUAAAAAGUGUCAUUUACUCAUAAUACCUGCCUCCCUCUUCUCUUUGGUUGUCAAGUUGUCACAUCUUGUAGUGCUUAGAUUGACAAUAACAUGUUUCUACACCCAGGAAUGCGACUAGUUUACUUACUACCUUCUUUUUACGAGAACAGUAGAGUACUCAACAGGACAUACUAGUUAACUGUACCCCAUAAUAUGGAUGUUCUG